UCCCAGACUCCUACGGGAGGCAGCAGUGAGGAAUAUUGGUCAAUGGGCGAGAGCCUGAACCAGCCAAGUCGCGUGAGGGAAGACGGUCCUAUGGAUUGUAAACCUCUUUUGCCGGGGAACAAAACCCGGGACGUGUCCCGGACUGCGUGUGUCCGAAGAAAAAGCAUCGGCUAACUCCGUGCCAGCAGCCGCGGUAAUACGGAGGAUGCGAGCGUUAUCCGGAUUUAUUGGGUUUAAAGGGUGCGCAGGCGGAUUUUUAAGUCAGCGGUCAAAUCGUGGGGCUCAACCCCAUCCAGCCGUUGAAACUGGGGAUCUAGAGUGUGCGAGAGGUAUGCGGAAUGCGUGGUGUAGCGGUGAAAUGCAUAGAUAUCACGCAGAACCCCGAUUGCGAAGGCAGCAUACCGGUGCACAACUGACGCUCAGGCACGAAAGCGUGGGUAUCGAACAGGAUUAGAUACCCCAGUAA
rnacentral:rRNA from 1 species